AAUCAACGCUGGCGGCGUGCCUCAGACAUGCAAGUCGAACGAUUAAAGCUCUCUUCGGAGAGUGCAUAGAGUGGCGCACGGGUGAGUAACACGUAAGUAAUCUACCCUCGGGUGGGGAAUAACGUCCGGAAACGGACGCUAAUACCGCAUAAUGCAGCGGCACCGCAAGGUGACAGUUGUUAAAGAUUUAUUGCCUGAGGAGGAGCUUGCGGCAGAUUAGCUAGUUGGUAAGGUAAUGGCUUACCAAGGCGACGAUCUGUAACCGGUCUAAGAGGACGGUCGGUCACACUGACACUGAAUAACGGGUCAGACUCCUACGGGAGGCAGCAGUCGGGAAUUUUGGGCAAUGGGCGAAAGCCUGACCCAGCAACGCCGCGUGAAGGAUGAAGUUUUUCGGAAUGUAAACUUCGUAAGAAUGGGAAGAACAAAUGACGGUACCAUUUGUAAGCCCCGGCUAACUACGUG
rnacentral:rRNA from 1 species